rnacentral:tRNA from 1 species
GUCCCGGUAGCUCAGUUGGAUAGAGCAGCCGCCUUCUAAGCGGCAGGUCGGGCGUUCGAAUCGCCCCCGGGACG